AGCGAACGCUGGCGGCAGGCCUAACACAUGCAAGUCGAGCGGGCCCUUCGGAGGCAGCCUCUUCUUGGUGUGUAACACGUCGGAACGUUCACGUCUGAGUGGCAUAACGCUGGGAAGCGAGCGCUAAUACCGGAUACCUGCUAUUAGGGAAUAGGUUAACGCUCCAGGAUCGGCCCGCGUCUAAUUAGCUUGUUGGCGUGGUAAUGGCCUACCAAGGCGACGAUCAGUAGCUGGUCUGAGAGCAUGAACAGCCACAUUGUGACUGAGACACGGCCCAGACUCCUACGGGAGGCAGCAGUGGGGGAUAUUGCACAAUGGGGGAAAGCCUGAUGCAGCGAUGCCGCGUGAGGGAUGAAGGUCUUAGGGUUGUAAAGCUCUUUUGUUCGGGACGAUAAUGACGGUACCGAACGAGAAAGCACCGGCUAACUUCGUG
rnacentral:rRNA from 1 species